GUAAAUGUUGAUAUGAGUUGAGCAAAUCAGCGUCAGUUCGAAUUAAUUUAGAAAAAUUUAAUUUUAUUCUUUCUAAAUAUUUGAUACAAGGUUCAGUGUAAAAUCGUCGAACUUGCAAACAAAAUAUUUUGUCUGAAAAUUCGAAACAUCGCCAUCCAUGUAAAUAAAGCGAACGUAAUGUAUUUAACAAAACCUCACGUGCACGCCCUUUUGACCCAUUCUCAAAUAAAUCGUUUUGUGGAAUAAAGUAAUGUGGACAAAAUGAAAAUUCAACAUAAUAAAUCAAUCUUUUAAAACAUGCCAUAAAACAAGAUAUUAGGUUUUUGGGUUUCCAUAUGGAUGGUUUCAUUUCCUCAGAGAUCCAGAAAAUAAGAGUUUUUAUGACAUAAGAGCAGAUUAAUUCAUGAUAUUCUACGUGUAUGAGUUUAUUUAAUACAUCUUUCAGAAGAAUUUUCAUAAGACGAUAGCACAUCAGUUGUGUAUGUGCAAAGGUAUAAAUUAAUAGUCUCUCGCCCACAUUGAAGGAUAUUCUCCAUUGAAGUUCCUCUCUUGGUGAUCCCUUAUAACCUACUGGUACAAACAAUACACCAUGUUUCACGAUAGUCUGCUUGACCUCAUUACUUGGCCAUAAGUUUUUCGAUCUUGUUAUCCAGUUUUCUGCUGUAGAUAUCCAUAAUUUACUGUGUAAAGCGUAUGCAUAGUCGUAGUCUCCAUCUUUAGUCGAAAUACAAGGUCCCUUAAUAUAGUUAUUACCGGUUUGACUGUCUAAAAUCUCCUGUUUAAAAAGUACGUUUGAAAAAUAAUACUUUCUAUGUAUCUUCUUACAGAGUUGAAAUGCGUUACUGUUGUUAGAAAAUAUAAGCAGUAGCAUAGUAUAACCUGGAUAUACUGCUUCAGUUUCCAUUUUGAAAUAUGUUUUACAAAAGUCAAAAGCGAAUUUUCUUUCUUCAGAAACUUCUAUAUUUCUUUGCACUAGUACGAUAUCUAUAUCUCCUCCAUGUAUAUCAAGACCCUCUCCAAAACUUCCACCGGUAAUAACAACGUUUAAAUCGUUGGUUGUUAAAUUGUCCCGAACAUUUAUCAACAUUCUAAUUGUCUUUACAUACUCUUCAGAUCCCACUAUAUGUUCACACAUAUAUUUGUACAAAGCUAAAGAUAUACAUGUAGUGGUGACA
rnacentral:lncRNA from 1 species